rnacentral:rRNA from 1 species
AUCGAGCGGGGAGCAAUCCCAGCGGCGAACGGUCGCAUAACACGUAAGCAACCUGCCCGAAAGACCGGGACAACAGUGAGAAAUCGCUGCUAAUACCGGAUGUGCCCGCCCCUUUGCAUGGAGGGGUGAGUAAAUCAUUUAUGGCUUUCGGAGGGGCUUGCGGCCUAUCAGCUAGAUGGCGGGGUAGUGGCCCACCAUGGCGACGACGGGUAGCUGGUCUGAGAGGAUGGUCAGCCGGACUGGGACUGAGAUACGGCCCAGACUCCUACGGGGGGCAGCAAUUAGGAAUCUUGCGCAAUGGGCGAAAGCCUGACGCAGCGACGCCGCGUGGAGGAGGAAGGCCUUCGGGUUGUAAACUCCUUUUGAGGGGGAAGAAACAAAUGACGGUACCUCUCGAAUAAGCCCCGGCUAACUCCGUGCCAGCAGCCGCGGUAAUACGGAGGGGGCGAGCGUUGUCCGAAGUUACUGGGCGUAAAGCGCGUGUAGGCGGGUUGCCAAGUCCGCUGUGAAAGCCCGAGGCUCAACCUCGGAGGGUCGGUGGAUACUGGCAGUCUUGAAGGUGCUAGGGGGAGAUGGAAUUACCGGUGUAGCGGUGAAAUGCGUAGAGAUCGGUAGGAACACCAGUGGCGAAGGCGGUCUCCUGGGGCAUUCUUGACGCUGAGACGCGAAAGCUGGGGGAGCGAACGGGAUUAGAUACCCCGGUAGUCCCAGCCCUAAACGAUGGAUACUAGGUGUCGGGGGUAUCGACCCCCCCGGUGCCGCCGCUAACGCAGUAAGUAUCCCGCCUGGGGAGUACGGCGCAAGGUUGAAACUCAAAGGAAUUGACGGGGGCCCGCACAAGCGGUGAGCAUGUGGUUUAAUACGUUACUAACCGUAAACCUUACCAGGGUUUGACAUCCCGCGCCA